GAUGAACGCUAGCGGCAGGCCUAACACAUGCAAGUCGAGGGGUAACUUAGUUGAUAGCAAUAUUAGCUAGGCUAGACCGGCGCACGGGUGCGUAACACGUAUGCAACCUACCUUAUACUGGAGCAUAACUUCGAGAAAUCGAUGCUAAUUCUCCAUAAUACUUUUGUACGGCAUCGUAUGAUAGUUAAAGUUUCGGCGGUAUAAGAUGGGCAUGCGUCCAAUUAGCUAGUUGGUGAGGUAACGGCUCACCAAGGCUACGAUUGGUAGGGGUUCUGAGAGGAUGAUCCCCCACACUGGUACUGAGACACGGACCAGACUCCUACGGGAGGCAGCAGUGAGGAAUAUUGCGCAAUGGACGAAAGUCUGACGCAGCCAUGCCGCGUGA
rnacentral:rRNA from 1 species